GAUGAAGAACGCAGCGAAAUGCGAUAAGUAAUGUGAAUUGCAGAAUUCAGUGAAUCAUCGAAUCUUUGAACGCACAUUGCGCCCGCUAGUAUUCUGGCGGGCAUGCCUGUCCGAGCGUCAUUUCAACCCUCAAGCCCCCGGGCUUGGUGUUGGGGAUCGGCGAGCCUCCGCGCCCGCCGUCCCCUAAAUCUAGUGGCGGUCUCGCUGUAGCUUCCUCUGCGUAGUAGCACACCUCGCACUGGGAAACAGCGCGGCCACGCCGUUAAACCCCCAACUUCUGAACGUUUGACCUCGGAUCAGGCAGGAAUACCCGCUGAACUUAAGCAUAUCAAUAAGCGGAGGA
rnacentral:misc_RNA from 1 species